rnacentral:snRNA from 1 species
CUACUUACCUGGCAGGGGAGACACCAUGAUCACGUAGGUGGUUUUCCCAGGGUGAGGCUCCGCCAUUGCACUUGGGCUGUGCUGACCCCUGCGAUUUCCCCAAAUGCGGGAAAACUCGACUGCAUAAUUGGUGGUAGUGGGGACUGCGUUCGCGCUCUCCCCU